rnacentral:rRNA from 1 species
AUUGAACGCUGGCGGCAUGCCUAACACAUGCAAGUCGAACGAGUGGCGGACGGGUGAGUAAUUUCUUGGAAACUGCCUGAUCUAGGGGGAUAACUACUGGAAACCGUAGCUACUACCGCUUAACAUCCUUUGUGCCCAGAGUGGAUUAGCUAGUAGGUGGGGUAAAGGCGCACCUAGGCGACGAUCCAUAGCUGGUCUGAGAGGAUGAACAGCCACACUGGAACUGAGACACGGUCCAGACUCCUACGGGAGGCAGCAGUGGGGAAUAUUGGACAAUGGGCGAAAGCCUGACGGAGCCAUGCCGCGUGUAUGAAGAAGGCCCUAGGGUCGUAAAGUACUGUUAGUAGGGAGGCGGUACCGACAGAAGAAGCAACGGCUAACUACGUGCCAGCAGCCGCGGUAAUAC